AGCAGCCGCGGUAAUUCCAGCUCCAAUAGCGUAUAUUAAAGUUGUUGCAGUUAAAAAGCUCGUAGUUGAAUUUCGAGAUCAAUUUGUUGGUCGUGCCUCGGUACGUACUGGCAAUUUUGAUUUCUCCCUUCUGAAGAACCAUGAUGUCAUUAAUUUGGUGUCAUGGGGAAUCAGGACCGUUACUUUGAAAAAAUUGAGUGUUUAAAGCAGGCUCGCGCUUGAAUACAUUAGCAUGGAAUAAUGAAAUAGGACGUUUGAUUCUAUUUUGUUGGUUUCUAGGAUCGACGUAAUGAUUAAUAGGGAUAGUUGGGGGCAUUAGUAUUCAAUUGUCAGAGGUGAAAUUCUUGGAUUUAUUGAAGACUAACUACUGCGAAAGCAUUUGCCAAGGAUGUUUUCAUUAAUCAAGAACGAAAGUUAGGGGAUCGAAGACGAUCAGAUACCGUCGUAGUC
rnacentral:rRNA from 1 species